rnacentral:SRP_RNA from 1 species
GCCUGGCGUGGUGGUGUGUGCCUGUAGUCCCAUGUACUCAGGAGGCUGAGGCAAGAGGAUUGCUUGAGUCUGGGAGGUUGAGGCUGCAGUGAGCCCUGAUGGUGCCACUGCACUCCAGCCUGGGCAAUACAGCAAGACCUUGCCUCCA